GGCUACGCGUUGAGCAUAUAGUUUGCUAUUCUUUUGCCUUAUACUAAAAUUACCGUAUACUCGUCGCUUAAAAGCAGCGUACGUUAAUUUUUGGAUGGGGUUUCUUCAUCAGAAUCU